AGUGCCGAAACAGAGCCAAAGGGGAAAGAAAGAGAGAACCGGAAAACCCCAAGUCCCAAUGGGGGCAUCGCCACCAUCUCCUCCUCCGUGCCGCCGCCGCGGCUAAACCCCCCGCUAACCCCCACAAUCGAAUGCCUCCUCCUCCCCUCCCCGCCGCCGCCGCCGCAAAACCCUAAACCCCGCCGCCCCCACCAUGCGCCGCCUCCCGCCCCUGGCCCCGUCCGCCACCUCCUCCGCCGCCGCCGCUCCAUCCACCUCCACCCCGGACGUCGUCGCGGAGCUCGGCCGCAUCCUCUCCACCCGUCGCUGGAACAAGGGCCGCGCGUACAAGCGCCUCGCCCCCUCCGUCACCGCCGCGCACGUCGCCGACCUCUUCCGCGCGGACUCCACAGCCCCCGAGCCCGCCACCGCCCUCGCCUUCUUCGAGUGGCUCGCCCGCCGCGAUGGGUUCCGCCACACCGCCGACUCCCACGCGGCGCUCCUCCACCUCCUGUCGCGCCGACGCGCCCCCGCGCAGUACGAGAGGCUCGUCGUGUCCAUGCUCAAUUGCUCCGACACCGCGGAGGACAUGCGCGUCUCGGCCGACGCCAUUCAGGCAAUCCGUCGAACGGGUAGCGCGCGCCUUGCGCUGUCCCCGAAGUGCUACAACUUCGCCCUUCGAUCGCUGGCGCGGUUCGACAUGACGGAGUAUAUGGGGAGGGUGUACUCGCAGCUUGUUCAGGAUGGUCUGUUGCCGGACACAGUGACGUACAAUACCAUGAUUAAGUCAUACUGCAAGGAAGGUGAUCUCACCACCGCGCACCGGUAUUUCAGGCUGUUGCUGGAGGGUGGGUUGGAACCAGAGACGUUCACAUGUAAUGCAUUGGUGUUGGGUUACUGCCGAACGGGUGAAUUGAGGAAGGCUUGCUGGCUAUUCCUGAUGAUGCCGCUGAUGGGUUGCCAGAGAAAUGAGUACUCCUACACCAUUUUAAUUCAGGGGCUCUGUGAUGCUAAAUGUGUAAGGAAGGCACUUGUGCUGUUCUUGAUGAUGAAGAGAGAUGGCUGCUCUCCAAAUGUGCGCGCUUUUACAUUCUUGAUCAGCGGACUUUGCAAGUCAGGUAGGGUUGGCGAUGCCAGGUUGUUGUUUGAUGCAAUGCCCCAGAAUGGUGUUGUUCCAAGUGUUAUGACAUACAAUGCAAUGAUUGUUGGGUACUCUAAGUUAGGUAGGAUGAAUGAUGCAUUGAAGAUUAAGGAGCUGAUGGAAAAAAAUGGCUGCCACCCAGAUGAUUGGACAUACAACACUUUGAUUUAUGGCCUAUGUGACCAAAAGACAGAAGAAGCUGAAGAAUUGCUGAAUAAUGCUGUUAAGGAAGGUUUUACACCUACAGUUGUUACAUUCACUAACUUGAUCAAUGGGUAUUGCAUGGCUGAAAAAUUUGAUGAUGCACUCAGGAUGAAGAAUAAGAUGAUGUCAAGCAAGUGUAAACUUGAUUUACAAGUUUUUGGAAAGCUGAUAAAUAGCCUCAUUAAGAAGGAUAGGCUAAAAGAGGCUAAAGAACUGUUGAACGAAAUUUCUGCAAAUGGUUUAGUCCCAAAUGUCAUCACCUACACAUCUAUAAUUGAUGGGUAUUGCAAGAGUGGGAAGGUUGAUAUUGCGCUAGAGGUCUUGAAGAUGAUGGAACGUGAUGGUUGCCAGCCAAAUGCCUGGACCUACAAUUCUCUGAUGUAUGGGUUAGUUAAGGAUAAGAAACUACAUAAGGCAAUGGCUCUAUUAACUAAGAUGCAAAAAGACGGGAUAAUUCCUAAUGUUAUCACCUACACCACUUUACUUCAAGGUCAGUGCGAUGAACAUGAUUUCGAUAAUGCUUUCAGGUUAUUUGAAAUGAUGGAGCAGAAUGGUUUGAAGCCUGAUGAGCAUGCAUAUGCUGUGUUAACUGAUGCACUGUGUAAAGCUGGAAGAGCUGAAGAAGCUUAUUCAUUUAUUGUUAGAAAAGGAGUAGCUCUAACAAAGGUAUACUAUACUACUUUAAUUGAUGGUUUCAGUAAGGCAGGCAAUACUGACUUUGCUGCGACCCUUAUAGAGAGGAUGAUUGAUGAGGGUUGCACACCAGAUUCAUACACGUACAGUGUACUGCUGCAUGCUUUAUGCAAACAAAAAAGGCUGAAUGAAGCUCUGCCAAUACUGGAUCAGAUGUCUCUCAGGGGAAUAAAGUGUACCAUUUUUGCCUACACAAUACUAAUUGAUGAAAUGCUCAGGGAAGGAAAGCAUGACCAUGCUAAAAGGAUGUACAAUGAAAUGACUUCAUCAGGACAUAAGCCUAGUGCUACCACAUAUACUGUAUUCAUUAACUCAUACUGCAAGGAAGGUCGACUGGAGGAUGCUGAGGAUUUAAUCUUGAAAAUGGAAAGAGAAGGUGUUGCCCCUGAUGUGGUGACCUACAACAUACUCAUUGAUGGCUGUGGGCAUAUGGGGUAUAUAGAUCGUGCAUUUUCUACUCUGAAGCGCAUGGUGGGUGCAUCAUGUGAGCCAAAUUACUGGACCUAUUGUCUUUUGCUCAAGCAUCUUCUAAAGGGCAAUCUGGCUUAUGUUCGUUCUGUAGAUACUUCUGGCAUGUGGAACUUGAUAGAGUUGGAUAUUACCUGGCAACUUCUUGAAAGGAUGGUGAAGCAUGGACUAAAUCCCACCGUAACGACAUACAGUUCUCUCAUUGCAGGAUUCUGCAAAGCUGGACGUCUUGAAGAAGCAUGCCUUCUUCUAGAUCAUAUGUGCGGAAAAGGUCUAUCUCCCAAUGAAGACAUAUACACAUUGCUUAUCAAGUGCUGUUGCGAUACCAAGUUCUUUGAAAAGGCUUUGUCGUUUGUUAGCAUCAUGUCAGAAUGUGGCUUUCAACCUCAACUCGAGUCCUACAGGCUUCUUGUGGUAGGCCUUUGUAAUGAAGGAGACUUUGAGAAGGUUAAAUCUCUGUUCUGUGACUUGCUUGAACUGGGCUAUAAUCAUGAUGAGGUUGCAUGGAAAAUUCUAAAUGAUGGUUUGCUCAAAGCUGGCUAUGUUGAUAUAUGUUUCCAGAUGCUGUCCAUUAUGGAGAAAAGAUACUGUUGCAUUAGUUCUCAAACAUAUGCAUUGGUGACAAAUAAAAUGCAUGAAGUAUCCAGUAGCCUUGUUAGUGAAGUCAGAGAAGAAGCUAGGUGACUAAUGCUGUCUUUCAAGCUGAUAGAUGUUUAAUUUCACUGGCAAUUCUUUUCCUUGGUGAGCAGUUGAGUUAAUCACAUGAUUGUUGUGAGCCCGACCCAGCAUUCUUGAUGCAGCUUUCAUAUGGAACUUGCAAAUCCAAUGGAACCUGGUCAUGUUUGAUUUUUUGGAUAGCCUUCCUAGUGGGCUAGGAACUCCUUGCUUGGAGAGGAGAGCUAAUUUGGUUCUCAUUUAAAAGCAAGGAAAUCAGUGUUCUGCCCGAGAGCAAGUCUAAAGACAAGGAAACCAAACUACUUCCAUCACCACUAACCUUGGUAGUUAAGGGAUAAUUUAACUGCAAUUCUGAUGGUACUGAGGUACAUGGGCAAAUUGCUCAUAGCAUUUCAGUGUGCAAAACCGACAUUAAAAGUCCAACACAGUAAGGGUGUUGUUUGGCCAGUUUAAUCCCAACACAUGUUGGUCAAUCUAACUGGUUCAUCAGAAACGAAAUGUACGUACUAAAUCCUGGUCAAAUGAAAGGCACUUCUUCAUUGCAGUUGAGAGAUAUUUCAACUUUGCAUCAUGUCACAUUGGAACUGUAUAAAACUGCUGUGAUCAUUUUAUGCCUACAUUGAGCUGUGUUUCUAUCUUCAAGAAAUCACCACGUAAGCUCCCCUGGUUCGACUCGGAUGGCUUCAUAUUAUCGACUGGCUGAACGCCUGCACUCUAUUCGGUAGACCAGCUGGGUCACAUCGUGGAGCCAUAAAAGCUGGUGCAACAAUACAACGAUUGACUUGAAAGAACUAAAAUACGUGUUAGAUAGGAUGAUAGGUUAUAUUUACUGUAAACAAUGAUGCCUACGUAAAUAGAUAAAUUUCAUAGCAUUUUUCCCUCGUAUUAUAGCCCAUUCUUUUAUUUCUUCAAACCGUAUUGCUUUUCAAGGGGUUAAUACUUCUGUGAUGAACUGUGUAUUAAUAAUUGAUGAAUAAAUCAUUGUUGUGACU